rnacentral:tRNA from 1 species
GGGGCUGUAGCUCAGUGGUGGAGCGCUUACCUUGCACGUGUGAAGCACUGGGUUCAAUCCUCAGCACCCAUA